rnacentral:pre_miRNA from 1 species
CUCAUACCUAUGUGUGUAGGACCCCAAAGAAUCACCAUCAAAUUUGACAUAGAUCUCUAAAAAAGUUAUCGCAUCAGUGUGGGACUUGACUUGUUUAGAGAUCUGUGUCAAAUUUAAUGGUGAUCCUUUGGGAUCCUACACAUAUGGGUGUGGG